rnacentral:rRNA from 1 species
GACUCUCGGCAACGGAUAUCUUGGAUCUCGCAACGAUGAAGAGCGCAGCAAAAUGCGAUACGUGGUGCGAAUUGCAGAAUCCCGUGAACCAUCGAGUACUUGAACGCAAGUUGCGCCCGAGGCCACCUGUCGAGGGCACGCCCGCCUGGGCGUGAUGCGCUGCCUCGCUCCGCGCC